AUUUCAUUUAUUACCUUAAAUAAACCAAACUAUUUUAGUCUUCUACUGCAGGAUAGCCUUUCUGUUUGCCUAAUCAUCCUAAUGUCACCUUUAUGUUCAUUUUUGCAGAUAUUACACUUCCAGUUUAAACUGUCCAGAUGUAUACUGUUUAAAAUAUGCAUGCUUCUCUUAUUCAUCUGAGCACUCCAGCUGUGAAAAUCCAGGCACAUGUUAUCAGGUUACUCUUCAGCUCUGGUAAGGUAGUAUGCAGUAGCAUGGAGGACAAAAUUAUGUUCCCAGCUGUACUCCAGGAGGUUGCAAAUAGCAGGUGCUAUGUGCUGCCCGCAGAACUGCUUGGAUGGGCUAGAAACCACCCCAAAGAGGAUCUCAAUGGGAGAUCAAAGGGACUAGGUGGGAAUUUGGGCCAGCAAGCCUCACACGGAUGAAGGUGGAUCUAAUUUCCCUUGUUUCUGCGGAAGAAAAGUGAUCAUCCUGAAGACAAGGAGCCAAGGACAAAUGAAUCCCAGGUUGGGCAGAGAUCUAAGACUGAUUCUCUGAUCCUCUGGAUUUCAAGGAAUGAUUGUGAACUCUUUGUUACCCCUGAGAAAAGUGGGAACUUGAAUCACCCUGAGUCCUUUGAGAGGCCUCUCAUUCCACUUGGUAUCAAUAAGAAGGAUUUAUUUUUUUGUUGUUGAGAAAAAAAUGACUUAAUUUUUGCAUGUCUUUUUGAAUAUAUAUGUAACUACUAGAUUUUACUGUUGUUAUUUUCAUUUCUUCAUGAUGAAUCCUUUGCCAAAUGGUUUGCUUGCAAAACUUGUCAUUAAACAUAGCCAUGGAUAAGAGACCUUUGUGGUGUUUUCAGUUUGCAGAUCCUCUAGAACUUUUUCUACGUUUCAUAAUCCUUUAAACUGAUGAAAUUUGCCAAGUCUUCUCCCCCUUAAUUUAAUCUUCUUGCUCAGCCAGUGCAUUUGUAACUGGUUGGAAUCAUGUGUUAUUUAAAUAAUGACUCCUGUCUGAAAGUAAUUUCUGCCCUGUUUGUGGAAGAACUGUGCACACAAAAACAAAACCUGUGACAGCUUAGGAUUUGUAUUUGAAAUCCUGAAUGGAAUAAACUGAGUGGAAAUAAAGCCUCA
rnacentral:lncRNA from 1 species